GGCUGCAACAUCCCCGUGGAAGGGGAUUCUUCUGACGCAUUCGGCGGCAACGCCAGGCAAAUCGGCGGAAUCAGCGCAUCCACUGCAGAC
rnacentral:sRNA from 1 species